UACGGAGGGUGCGAGCGUUAAUCGGAAUGACUGGGCGUAAAGCGUGCGUAGGUGGUUACGUUAGUCAGCCGUGAAAGCCCUGGGCUUAACCUGGGAAUGGCGGUUGAAACGGCGUGGCUUGAGUGGGCUAGAGGACUGUGGAACUCCCGGUGUAGCGGUGAAAUGCGUAGAGAUCGGGAAGAACACCGAUGGCGAAGGCAGCGGUCUGGGGCCACACUGACACUGAGGCACGAAAGCGUGGGGAGCAAACAGG
rnacentral:rRNA from 1 species